UUGCACUAAUCACAAUUUUUUUUUGUCUUAACCCAAAAUUGAGAAGUUUUUUAGACUUAUAGAUGUGUGUGUGUAUAGAGCCAAUAUUUCUGAAUGUCAUGUUCUUACUAGUUUGUUCACCUUUUUGUGAAUGUGAUUAACAAGAGGUGAGAUAUUUGCAAGAAUCUGUACAUAUGAAUUAUUCUUCAAAAACACCAAGUCUUUCUUUUCUUGCAGGAAUCCAGAAGCUUUGAAGUCACAAGAAGAAAAGGAAAUAAUGAAAUCAUUGUUGCUUUCCCCGGGAGAUUUCUGGAAGUAGAGCUGUCCGGUGCUGACCCGUCUGUUCAAAUUUCAGUUUGGAGAGUCUUGGGAGAGAGAGCAGAUGAAGCCGUCUCAGAAAUGUAAAUGCUGUUUGACAUCUAUUAGCGCAAUGCUUACCCAUUGCCGACAGCACAAUCCAUUAGGAUGCGGGUGUCAUGGACCAGAGACACUUGGAAUAUAGUGAGGGACAUGCCAGCAGCCGCCAAGCUCCAUUCCAAUGAGCCGAAAGAGCACUGGCCUAGCAUUCCGGCCAGGCAUUGUGCAGCUCCCACGUGCACUCCCCGGGCUUCUAAAAGGCCAGCACCACAGGCCUUCUUCAUGACUGCUCCUCCGCCAGGCCGCCUGCCUGGGUGCUGGGCACGGUCACCCUGGGAGGUCCGGCUCCCUUCUCAUCUCCGUCAUCCAUGGAAUUGUCGAAUGAUCCAGCCAUGGUUUGAAGGUCCCACGGGGUCACUUGUUAUUUUUACAGGUAAGUCUGCAAGGCCGCUUCUAAGUGGACUGUCCUCGGGAAGCUUGAGAAGAACAAAGCAACUCUACGGCAGUGACUGAGGAAAGCGGUGGACUGGAGGCUGGGGGAGACCUGGAAGAGUAAGAUCUUCACAGCAGACACCAGAAACCACUGCGGUGUCUUGGAGCGGGGGUGAGGAUGCCCGUCCAGGUGGCUGGUCUUGAGCAAACCUGGGAGUCCUCUGUCCUGAUACUGACAGUGAGCUACACGUCCCACCAGACUAAUUCUCUCCCCACACCUCUUUGAGGUCAGAGCCCAGAGGUACAUUUUGUUGGCUGGUGUACCUGACGUCACAGACGAAAUGGUCACUGCGGUUGGAGCAGGGGAGGACAAGAACAGGAGACUUUACCUACGGACGGACUCGUUCUGUUCCCUAUGGAGGCUAGAAAUUCUGGGGCUCUGUUCCCAUGUUCAAGGGGCUAGAAAAGAUGUGAACUGGAGGUCCAUGGGCCGGAUGUAACGU